GACGAACGCUGGCGGCGUGCUUAACACAUGCAAGUGGAGCGACGAGCCAGGGCUUGUGCUGGGGCCGCGCCGGGAACGGGUGAGUAAAACAUGGGUAACGCGCCCCGAUGACUGGGACAACCCGGGGAAACACGGGCUCAUACAGGGUGUAGCAGCUCCCGCCAGGGGGGGGUGGUAGGGAAGCUUCGGCCUUCGCAUCGGGACUCGCCGGUGGCCCACUAGCUUGUUGGUGAGGUAACUGCCCACCCAGGCUGGGAUGGGUAGCUGGUCUGGGAGGACGGUAGGCCACCCUGGAACUGAGACACGGCCCAGACUCCUACGGGAGGCAGCAGUGGGGAAUCUUGCGCAAUGCGCGAAAGCGUGACGCAGCAGCGCCGCGUGUGGGAAGACGGCCUUCGGGUUGUAAACCCCUUUCAGUUGGGACGAAGGUCUGUCGCUUAACAGGCGGUCAGACUGACGGUACCUUCACAAGAAGCCCCGGCUAACUACGUG
rnacentral:rRNA from 1 species